rnacentral:tRNA from 1 species
GGCCUGCUAGCUCAGUUGGUUAGAGCGUCGUGCUAAUAACGCGAAGGCCGUAGGUUCGAUCCCUUCGCAGGCCA